AUUGAACGCUGGCGGCAUGCUUUACACAUGCAAGUCGAACGGCAGCACGGGCUUCGGCCUGGUGGCGAGUGGCGAACGGGUGAGUAAUGCAUCGGAACGUGCCCAUGUCGUGGGGGAUAACGUAGCGAAAGCUACGCUAAUACCGCAUACGCCCUGAGGGGGAAAGCGGGGGAUUCUUCGGAACCUCGCGCGAUUGGAGCGGCCGAUGUCGGAUUAGCUAGUAGGUGAGGUAAAGGCUCACCUAGGCGACGAUCCGUAGCGGGUCUGAGAGGAUGAUCCGCCACACUGGGACUGAGACACGGCCCAGACUCCUACGGGAGGCAGCAGUGGGGAAUUUUGGACAAUGGGGCAACCCUGAUCCAGCCAUGCCGCGUGAGUGAAGAAGGCCUUCGGGUUGUAAAGCUCUUUCGGCCGGGAAGAAAUCGGCGACUCUAACAUAGUCGCUGGAUGACGGUACCGGACUAAGAAGCACCGGCUAACUACGUGCCAGCAGCCGCGGUAAUACGUAGGGUGCGAGCGUUAAUCGGAAUUACUGGGCGUAAAGCGUGCGCAGGCGGUUUUGUAAGACAGAUGUGAAAUCCCCGGGCUUAACCUGGGAACUGCGUUUGUGACUGCAAGGCUAGAGUACGGCAGAGGGGGGUGGAAUUCCACGUGUAGCAGUGAAAUGCGUAGAGAUGUGGAGGAACACCGAUGGCGAAGGCAGCCCCCUGGGCCUGUACUGACGCUCAUGCACGAAAGCGUGGGGAGCAAACAGG
rnacentral:rRNA from 1 species